UGCGUAGGCGGAUUAAUAAGUCAGUGGUGAAAACCUGCAGCUUAACUGUAGAACUGCCAUUGAUACUGUUAGUCUUGAGUACGGUCAAGGUAGGCGGAGUGUGUAAUGUAGCGGUGAAAUGCUUAGAUAUUACACAGAACACCGAUUGCGAAGGCAGCUUACUGGACCAUUACUGACGCUGAGGCACGAAAGCGUGGGGAGCGAACAGGAUUAGAUACCCUGGUAGUCC
rnacentral:rRNA from 1 species